rnacentral:rRNA from 1 species
CCUACGGGAGGCAGCAGUAGGGAAUAUUGCUCAAUGGGGGAAACCCUGAACCAGCCACGUCGCGUGAAGGAUGAAUGUCCUACGAUUUUAAACUCUUUUUUUUAGAGAAGAUUAUUACGGUAUGUAACCAAUAAGCACCGGCUAACUCCGUUCCAGCAGCCGCGGUUAUACGGAGGGUGCCAGCGUUACUCGGAAUCACUGGGCGUAAAGCGUGCGUAGUCGGGGUAAUAAGUCAGUUGUGAAAUCCUGUAGCUUAACUACAGAACUGCAUUUGAUACUGGUACUCUUGAGUGUGGGAGAGGUAGGUGGAAUUCUUGGUGUAGGGGUGAAAUGCGUAGAGAUCAAGAGGAAUACUCAUUGCGAAGGCGGCCUGCUGGAACAUUACUGACGCUGAUGCACGAAAGCGUGGGUAGCAAACAGGAUUAGAUACCCUAGUAGUC